AUAUAAAUGCAGUAUUUGAGUCAAUAUAAUCACAUAUUUGCAUGUAUUUACAGUUUUUUGAACUUGAUGUGCCGUAUAUUUGCUAUGGUCUGUGGGACACCUGUGAAUAAUCUCUGAAGGAAAACGCUCUUCUGUAACAUGUGCUGAACCUGUGAGUGGGACAGGACUCUCAAUUACAUUGUCCAUAGUAGAAAAUGAACUGGUCUUCUUUGGAGAUGAGCUCCAUUUCCAGAAGGAGAAGCUCUGGCUUCCCCAUCGUCUCCAACUCCUUCAGCAUCGAUUGUUCCAACAGCGUUAACCUGCUCCAAAGUUUGUCCCACCAUUGGCUGGCCAGUGGCCAAUCAGUUACUCUCAAUGGCAUGGACCAAGAUUGGGCUGUGGGCCCUGAACUGUGAUGUCACAGAACCUGGAACCUGCACCCAUUACUGACUAGGACAAGGAGCAGAGGCAGAGAGAAAGAGGACCCACCCUGAGAAGGAAGAGUCCAGGUGGGAUCUGAGACAGGGAGACCCUUUAUAUGUCGCCGCCUUGAUGUGUGGCUCUUUUGCCACUUUGAGCUCCAGGAUCACCCCCAGAUGAACUGCUAUCACUUUUUUUUUUUUUUUUCUGAGACGGAGUCUUGUUACCCAGGCUGGAGUGCAAUGGCACGAUCUCGGCUCACCGCAACCUCCGCCUCCUGGGUUCAGGCAAUUCUCCUGCCUCAGCCUCCUGAGUAGCUGGGAUUACAUGCCACCAGGCCCAGCUAAUUUUUUUUUUUUUUUUUUUUUUAGUAGAGACGGGGUUUCACCAUGUUGACCAGGAUGGUCUCGAUCUCUUGACCUCGUGAUCCACCCGCCUUGGCCUCCCAAAGUGCUGGGAUUACAGGCUUGCGUAUCACUUUCAAAUAACCUUAUCUUUCCUCCUGCCUUCCAAACCAAUUAUCUCGCCCUUCUGACACAAGAGGACUUUACCUGGAAGACCACCGCACACCUUCUGGUAACACUGGGACCCUGGGCUCCUACAGAAAUUUUUCUAUCACCUGAUCACAAAUGCUGAAUGAGAAACACCAGCUCUUGGACUCAAAACUGCUCAGAUCAGGAAAUAAUCAUCCUCAGUCUUCAGGAAGAAGGUGAAAUAUUGCAUGUUCUCACUCAUAUGCUGGAGCAAAAAAAUGAGAGUGGCUUCAGCUUAGACACAGGAUAAGAAAAUGGGAGGGCCUCCAGCUUGGGAACCUCAGCCCGUCUGGCUCCUGCCUUCCUCCUUCAGCCCUAGAACCAAGGAGAAGGUAAUUGAAGUGAUUUCUGGCUUUCCACUAUACUCCCUGAAGGCCAAGGAAAGGGAAAUGGUCUUGUGUGCUGACUUUGAAUAUUCACAAGGACAUCAUCAAAUAGAUGUUGCUACUUUCCCCAGUGAACACAUGCAGAGGUGACCGUGACCUGUGAUUUUAGAGCUGGGAAGAGACCUUGGGUUUUCAUUCAGGAGAAGUCCAAGGAAAUGAGGGGUCUGCUGUUGUGGCUGACAAGGAAACAUCAGGAGAAGCUUAACCUAAAUUUUCUGCCACACAGAAGACUUUUGCGACCAGCAGAAACGAGGGCAUGAGAGUUACUCUUCUUCUUGGUUGUCAUCUCAUCUCUGCCUUUCAGUGGUGUGGCCUUGGUCAAGUUCAUGGACAGCCUCCAACACAGGGUGUGCAGCAAAGAAAGAGCAGCUGGGCUGAAACUGUCAUCUGUAGAAAGGCCUGUUGACAAGGUUGGCCCUUUUUCGCCUGGGAACUUGUCUCUCAAUGGCAAUAGUUCAUUGAUAAGAUGGCACAUUGUUCCUAAACUGUUUGGCAAAUGAUGUCAUUUAUGUGAACACCUGCUUUUCCUCUGGGGAGUCUGAAAUUUGGGAACUUCUCAAAAGAAAGAAGCAGGUGUUCACAUAAGCCAUACCCUCUGCUAGACAGAGGGUGUCUACAUGACCAGCCCACAGUAAAACUCUUGGGCACUGAGUGUUUAAUGGAUUUCCCUUUGUUGAAACACAGUAUAACUUUCAGCAUUUCUGCUGUUGGGGGAAGGGUGUGCUUUGUGUGGCCUUCGUGGGAGAAAGAUUACGAGAAUCCUGCAAGUGGAUCCUACCAACUGCAGCAGCAUCUUGUCCCCUUGGGUCCGAUUGAGUAUCUGACCAAUUGCAGUAAUAAAACUUAACUGUAUAAACAAUAUGUGUAGAGCCCUGUGACUCUUUCUAGGGAAAUCUCUGAACAGCCAGGUGGUCCAAGGAACCCCAGAAACUCCUGGGCUUGUUACUAUUACACUGAACUUCACUGUGGCCAACUCUCUUACAGGUCAAGAAAAAAGGCUCAAUAAAACACUUUUGUCAUUGAGCUAAAUUUUCAUUUUGGGGCUGUGGGUUAUACUUUCAAAUUAGGCCCAAAUUCAUUGAAGGACAUAACUUUUUUUUUAAUAUGAAAAGACUUCCAAUAUCCUGGUCCUGUCCAGGACAUUCCAUUAAAGGAGUACAUUCCUCUAGGAGAACUUUAUUAGGAUUGUUAUAGCUAAAUCUGGUAUAAUAUCAUUUGCAGCAGACUUAAGAAUCUUGGAGUACAAGACUUUCGGAUUUUAAGGACCGUGCAGUAUUCGAGGACGAGUGUCACUCCCAAUUACGGAGCGGUCACAGUGUUCUUGGCCCUAUGCUCAGCAUUUUACAAGCUUCACCUCACUUAAUUCUGAUGACAAUCCAAGGGAGAAGGUUUUCUCAUCAUACCCAUUUUACAUAGAAGGGAACUGAGAUCAUUUAAAUAGCUAGAGGCUAAGUAAUGUUCUCGAGCCCAUGCAGCUAUGAAGUGUCAGAGCUGGUAUCCAACCUGACUUCAUCUGACACCAGAUCCUGAGACCGCCACAUCCUGCCUUCCAGAAGAUACUGUUUCAUACUUUCAGGGAAAUUGUUGAAAACCAGAGACAAAAACACACUCCUUGAAAGGUUUGUGGAAAAUCACAUCUAUUCCUAAACUAUGAAGUUCCACAAUUUCUCAAAAGUGUUCUCCCUAUUCGGUCUUGUUUUUAGUGUGCCAAUUCUAAAUACAAACCCAUGUCUCCCCCACAGGGGCAGGGAGCUCUUUCUUUCUCACUUGUCAUCUGGGUCAACAAAGGCAGUCAGUGCAGGUUGAAUAUCCUUAAUCCAAAAACCCUAAAUCCCAAAUUCUCCAAAAUCUGGAACUUUUUCAGCACUGAGGAAAUGUUCCCUAAAGGGCUCUGGAUUUCAGAUUUUCAGAUUAGCGAUGUUCAGUCAUAAGUAUCAUACAAAUAUUCACAAACUGAACAAAUCAGAAAUCUGAAAUGCUUCCAGUCCCAAGCAUUUUGGAUAAGACGUACUCAACUGUAUCUGCCCUACUGAGAUCUGUUACCAUGUGGGAGGUGAGGAUGCAUCACUUAUUCCAACCCUUUGAAACAGAGAUAUCGCCUGCCUGCAACCUUUGCCUAU